rnacentral:rRNA from 1 species
GACGAACGCUGGCGGCGUGCUUAACACAUGCAAGUCGAACGGAAAGGCCCUGCUUUUGUGGGGUGCUCGAGUGGCGAACGGGUGAGUAACACGUGAGUAACCUGCCCUUGACUUUGGGAUAACUUCAGGAAACUGGGGCUAAUACCGGAUAGGAGCUCCUGCUGCAUGGUGGGGGUUGGAAAGUUUCGGCGGUUGGGGAUGGACUCGCGGCUUAUCAGCUUGUUGGUGGGGUAGUGGCUUACCAAGGCUUUGACGGGUAGCCGGCCUGAGAGGGUGACCGGCCACAUUGGGACUGAGAUACGGCCCAGGCUCCUACGGGGGGCAGCAGUGGGGAAUAUUGCACAAUGGGCGGAAGCCUGAAGCAGCAACGCCGCGUGCGGGAUGACGGCCUUCGGGUUGUAAACCGCUUUCGCCUGUGACGAAGCGUGAGUGACGGUAAUGGGUAAAGAAGCACCGGCUAACUACGUG